AUCACAGAGCUGUUUGCUUUGUGCUGUCACCCACUCUAGCCAGAGGCAUCGCAAGGGGCAACUCUGUUCUAACUCCUCCUUGGUCAAUGCUGUCAAAGAGAGGCCAACAGGGUGAGGCCAAUCAUGGUUCUCAAGAUGGGGCCACCCUGGUCAAAGGUUCUUGGAGGCCUCAUGUCCUGGGCUGGGGGCAGCAUGAAGAUCGAUGCUGCAUUGAAGGCAUUGGCUGCUAGUAUUCAGUAAAGAAUGGGUUCCAUCUUGGCUGACUUGGGAAGUUUUGGACAUUUCCAUGUAACUGUCUUAUUGAAGCUGGUUCACUGAGUUCUUCCUCUGCCUUUGAAUUGCUGAUUUUUUUUUUUUUUUUUUUUCAGUUAAAAAAGCACAAGUAAGCUGAUGAGCUGUUGGGUGGCAUCUGCUGUUCCCAGCCGUGGGAAGUGGUGGUAAAUCUGGGGCCUUGCGGCAUGCUGGGUGCUGCUGAAUUUAGCCAAUGCCAUGCUGAGUAGGAGGGGGCAUGGCAGAGUCACAUGUGUAGAAGGUGCCCACCUGAGAAGGUGUCUGCUGUGGGGCAGCUACUGUACCAGGCAUGAGGACUACAGAGAGAAACAUAUGUACUCUAUGCUCGGAAAAUGCUUAGAGUUCCAGCCAGUGACCCACCCGAAGAGGAGCGGCUUUAGUUCAAACCAUGUGGAUGCUGGGUCUCUUGGAAGGUUUACCUCUUAGGAACUGGUGUUAAUGGCAUCACUUUCAAGACUUUGCAGGCUCCUGAUUCUUGAAGAGGGGUCAAGAUGUGGACAGUUGGCACGGUUCCACCGAGGUUAGCCAUGAGCAGCAGGAACAGGGUAGGUGGGGGCACAUUCUGCCACGUUGAUCAUGGCCUCUGUAAAGUGAGUUAGGGGCAAUUGCCAAGUGGACCAACAUCUGCUUCAGCAUCUUGAGAAAGCUGAAAAUAAAAAUCGAUGUGUAUAAAAUGAGGCUGUUGAGUGAACCUCAGACCACAGGUAAUUGCAAUCUGAGUUCAGGUUGCGGCAACUGUCCUGAAGAGCUCAGAAAGCAGGCACUUUCCACCACGUACAGUGUCUGUGUCCUCAGCUCCUGCUCCAGGGGUAGUUUCUGGCGUGUUCAAUGACACUGCUAGGCAUCCCCCAGAAUUUAAUUUUAAUAUCAC
rnacentral:lncRNA from 1 species